GAGCAGCCAUGCCGCGUGCAGGAGAAGGCCUUCUGGGUUGUAAACUGUUUUUAUCUGGAAAAAAAAGUGCCUUGCUUGGCAAAUUGGAGGGGCCAGAUGAAUAAGCGCCGGCUAACUCCUUGCCAGCGCCCCCGGGAAUUUCGAAGGUGCGGGGGUUUUCCCGAUUUUAUGGGGUUAAAGGGGGCGUAGGCGGAUGAAUAAGUCAACGGUGAAAGACUCCGGCUUAACCUGAGCAGUGCCAUUGAUACUGUUUAGCUUGGGUGUCGGAGGGGUACAUGGAAUUGAUGUUGUAACGGUGAAAUGCAUAAAUACCAUCAGGAACACCCAUAGCGAAGGCAUUGUCCUGGCCCACAACUGACGCUGAUGCACCAAAAUGUGGGGAUCGAAAAGGAUUAAAUACCCUGGUAGUCCACACCGUAAACGAAGAUUACUCCCUGUUAUGGUGUAUGCUGUAUUGGCCAAACGAAAGCGUUAAGUAAUCCACCUGGGGAGUACGCCGGCCGGGGUUGAACU
rnacentral:rRNA from 1 species